GAAAUGCGAUAAUUAAUGUGAAUUGCAGAAUUCAGUGAAUCAUCGAGUCUUUGAACGCACAUUGCGCCCCCUGGUAUUCCGGGGGGCAUGCCUGUCCGAGCGUCAUUGUUGCCCUCAAGCACGGCUUGUGUGUUGGGCUUCCGUCCCUGGCAACGGGGACGGGCCCAAAAGGCAGUGGCGGCACCAUGUCUGGUCCUCGAGCGUAUGGGGCUUUGUCACCCGCUCCCGUAGGUCCAGCUGGCAGCUAGCCUCGCAACCAAUCUUUUUAACCAGGUUGACCUCGGAUCAGGUAGGGAUACCCGCUGAACUUAAGC
rnacentral:misc_RNA from 1 species